CCUACGGGUGGCUGCAGUCGAGGAUCAUUCGCAAUGGGGGAAACCCUGACGAUGCGACGCUGCGUGGAGGAUGAAGGCCUUCGGGUCGUAAACUCCUGUCAUAUGGGGCAAGGGUGUGGGCGCUAAUAGCGCGAUGCACUUGAUGGUACCAUAAGAGGAAGCCACGGCUAACUCUGUGCCAGCAGCCGCGGUAAUACAGAGGUGGCGAGCGUUGUUCGGAUUUACUGGGCGUAAAGCGUGCGUAGGCGGUUACGUAUGUCGGAUGUGAAAUCCCG
rnacentral:rRNA from 1 species